rnacentral:lncRNA from 1 species
AGAUGAGUCCUUAGCAGAACUCCACUGACACAGAGGAACAGAAGUAGCUGCUAUUUCAGCAGUCCCCUGGACUAAACAACAGAUUAUUUCUUCCUUCAAGAGCAGAAUAUCCAAGUGAAUCUGAAUACUGGUGUAGGGGAAAACACAAAUCACGUCUUGAAGCAGUGAUGUCUUGAAGUGGUGAAGGCAAGGGUAUCUCACUGGAGAUCCCUUCCUAUCUGAGGCCCACUGAAGGUGUGAAAGUUGUGAUGGGUGACAUCAAGCUUCUCCAGCUGGAAAGAAAAGACAGGAUUGUCACUAUUUCAUGGUCAACAGAAGAGCACCUGAAAUCCUAUCAGCAUGUCUUCAAAGGUGGAAGCAUUUCUGGUCUCUUAGCAUGUUGAUUAACCUAAUGCUAUUAAUCAGACCACAUGUCAAUAAACUUGUUGCUGAAGGAAGUGGAUGA